rnacentral:tRNA from 1 species
GCCCUGGUAGCUCAGAGCCGUAGAGCGCCGGUCUUGUAAACCGGACGUCGAGGGUUAAAGUCCCUCCCAGAGCU